rnacentral:lncRNA from 1 species
AAGUCAUUAGAAGAUAGAUGGCAUUUUAGGCUACUGGAUUGAAAGUCAUGAUAGAAAGAAAGUGAGGGAAAAGAAGGCCCAGAACAAGGCUGUAUUGUAGAUAAAUGUAUAUUUAAAUUUUCUGUACCUUGUGAUGUUUUGAUAUCUUAGAAAAUCUUUCUAACUGGGGAAGAGAUCACCUUUGCUUGAGGCUAGCCAAUUCUUUUUUUGUUUUGUUUUGUUUUGUUUUUGAGAUGGAGUCUCGCUCUGUCGCCCAGGCUGGAGUGCAGUGGCGCCAUCUUGGGUCACUGCAAGCUCCGCCUCCCGGGUACACACCAUUCUCCUGCUUCAGCCUCCCCAUUAGCUGGGACUACAGGUGCCUACCACCAUGCCCGGCUAAUUUUUUUGUAUUUUUAGUAGAGACGGAGUUUCACCGUGUUAGCCAGGAUGGUCUUGAUCUCCUGACCUCGUGAUCCGCCUGCCUCGGCCUCCCGAAGUGCUGGGAUUACAGGCGUGAGCCACUGCGAACAGCCGCCAAUACUUAAGAUAGGAAAGGGACCAGCCUGAAGCACGCAAACUAACCAACCCAGAGCCACAUUUCCUCUACCUUGCCCACAUACCCUGGAAACAAUAUUCUUCUGUCUUAAGCAACCCAGGGCCAGGUACCAGGCAACUAGAGAACACUCCUGUUUCCCAAAUUCUGGAGAAAUUAUUCAAAGUAGUCCUAAACUGUUCAUCCUAUCCUGCCUUACCCUUCUCUCAGAAACCCCAACAAAGGCCAUGCCUUACAACUUACCUUGCUCCUGUUUCUGCCUCCUGACCACUCUGGUCUUCCCCAUGUUGCCAUGUAUGGCAUGCCUCCUGUCUCUAGGACCUAUGCAGCAAAAGAGAAAAACAAUGAAAGUCUGUAUUAGUAACCAGAAAAACGGUCAGAAGUCUGAGGUACCUGAGAGAAGACAGCAAAAUGAGAUCUGGAAUUUGAGGAGCACCUGUUAGGAGAAGAGCCAUCUCUACUACUCCCCAAAAGAUUCCCUGUUCUAGUUGGCCUUCUAUAUUGGUGGUUUCUGAAUACAUACCCCAAAGAACCUGAGCAUCAGUGAAUUCUGGUAUCUUCUGGGAGCCCUGGAACUAAUCUCUUGAAGAUACCAACGGAUGACUGUGUUUUAAAAGGCGAGAGAGAGAUGUCACUCAGGACUGCUUCCGAAGGAGUUUCCCUUGAAGCUUGCUUCACUGUCUGACUCCUUUCAUACAAGUGGGUAACAUGCCCUUCAUUCAGAACCAAACCUGUGCCCUGGCUUGGUAUAUUUCCUCCACCUGCUGAGCAUCCUCUCACCCUCUACUUUUACCUGGAAGAAAGAAGACAAUAAUAUCUACCAAUCAAGAUGCUGUACCUGAAGCAGAAGAUAACCUGGCAAAGAAAAGAGUAUAGUGCUGCCUUCAGGGAACUCCUAGUCUAGGGGAAGACAGCCAAUAAUCACAUAACUGCUCUAAUCAAAUAUUUCACCAAAAUAAAGUAUUAGCCACCUCCUAGAAUCCAGGCUCUGUUUGAAUUGCUAACUGAAGAAAUC